UGCUCUCUGAUGGCGAGUGGCGAACGGGUGAGUAACAUAUCGGAACGUGCCUAGUAAUGGGGAAUAACUAAUCGAAAGAUUAGCUAAUACCGCAUACGACCUACGGGUGAAAGCAGGGGAUCGUAAGACCUUGCGUUAAUGGAGCGGCCGAUAUCUGAUUAGGUAGUUGGUGGGGUAAAGGCCUACCAAGCCGACGAUCAGUAGCUGGUCUGAGAGGACGAUCAGCCACACUGGGACUGAGACACGGCCCAGACUCC
rnacentral:rRNA from 1 species